rnacentral:rRNA from 1 species
CCUCCUGAAAAGUCCUCGUGUUGCACCCUU